AGUCUGGUGACGUAGCGGUGUCGGUGGCUAGCGUUUCUCAGCGUGAGGCAGGACUUGUUCCUCAGUCUUACAGUGACUGACAAGUGGCGCCCAAACAGUGACCUGAGUACAUGGGCUGUUGAGAGGGAACCCGGAAAUAUUUCGCAUACAGACAUAUACAGGGUAAGUUGGAUUGUACCGGGGGAUAUUUUAGAUGUAGCCUUUCUUUCUGUUUUGUUCUCAUCAGGAGUAAAAAUGGGGCAAACUGGAUUUAAGGAACGACAACUUUUCGUUCAGCUACUGUACUCUAUGUUAUCUGCUCAGGGCAUUAAGGUUACGCAUAAACAGCUUGUUCAUUUUCUUCAUUUUGUGCAGGAAAUUUGUCCAUGGUUCCCAGAGGGAGGAACUGUUAAUAUUCAAACAUGGGAAAAAAUAGGUCAACAAUUGAAAACUUUCUAUUCCCUUCAUGGACCUUCUAAGGUUCCUGUAGGUACUUUUUCACUUUGGAAUUUGAUAAGAGAUUGUCUUGACCCAACUCAUGAGCUUCAGAAAUUAUUCAAAGCAGCGUCUUUACGCUGCUUCCCUUCUGCUCCUCAGUUACAAAAUUUGCCUGAGGAACCUGUUUCUCCUACUGCACCUCCCUUGUUGGCGACCAUGCCAUCUUCAGAGUCCCUGGAGGAGGUUGAUGAACUAUCCCCAGAGGAUGAGACUGAAUCGGAGGAAGAGGCUGCACGAUAUCACAAUCCUGAUUUUGAUGAUGGCGUUUUUGCAGCUCUUAAGAAUGUGCCUGCAGAGUCUGAAAACUUUCCUAUAUUAGAUAAAACUUCAUUUACUGCUUUAGCCCAAGCUUUAACUUGGGUAAAACAUUUACAUGAUGUUACUCAAGAUGCUUCCCUAGCCCCUAUUGCACAUUCUUCUGGCUUUUCCUUGCCAGCAAAAUCUCCUGAUGAGUCCCCUUCAGUAAAUCAGGGGUCUAUUUCUGUUUCUUCUACUUCCUCUCUGCCUGUGAGUCUUUCUUCUCCACUCCAAACUGCUUUAUUUCAAGCUUCUAAGCAGGGGGAAGAUAUAUCUUCUUUGGGGUUUAAAAUAAAGAAGGGGGAAUAUACCACAACCCCGCACAAUUUAUUGCGACAUUCUUUAUAUACUUUAAAUUUUUUGAACGUAGAUAAGCAAGGACAGACAGCUGUCGAAGGAUUGUGGCAUCCUCGUGCCUUGCCUUUUGCUGAAGUCCGUUGGCAGGAUCUUCUUACUAAUCAGUGGAAUGGUCCAGGAUCCUAUACUAAUAUGGGGAUGAGGGCAUGUUUGUAUGUUUCCUAGGGACACUAAGGAUCCUCGUUGGAUACCUGAGCGCCUCAUGAGAUUCUGUGGAUCCAGACCAGAUGGAUGGUGAAUUCCCUCCCCUGCAAUAUGGAUCCAGACCAGAUGGUGAACUCUCUCCCCCACCACAUGACGAGAAGGCGGCUCGAUGACACUUCCAAUCCUCCUGAGAAACCAGCUCUCCAAGCUCAUCAGUGUUGUCUCUCCUGGGCCACGUGGAUGGCCAACCCUCCAACAUGGGGCCAAUUGAAACGACUGACCCAGAAGGCAGAGGAGAUGUUGAUGCAGCAGCAAGUGACUAAGUCCCCACAAACGUUGUUUGUGGCUAUGUUGGCUAUUAUCUCUUGUCAGGUAGUUUUGGGUAAUACUGAUAAUUAUUGGGCAUAUGUCCCUGAUCCUCCAUUACUUCGCCCCGUAGAAUGAAAUGAUCCCUCAAUUCCUGUUUAUGUUAACGAUACUUCCCUUCUUGGCUAUCCAAGCAGUGAUUUUAUUACCCCUCUCACUGUAACUUGUUUUUCAUUUACUGCCUUUCCUUUUGUGUGCCCCUAUCUGUUUUUCCAUUCCUGCAUUUUGGUAUAACCAACACGAACAAUACCGGCAUGGAUGUCUUUCGGUAGGACCCAGGCCUUCUUAUACAUAUCAGUUGCAGUAUUGGAAUGAAACAUGAUCUCACAGGGAGUGGAUUUUGAAUAUCAUGAGGCUCUCCACUUCUUAUUUUAAGGCUACAGAGGAUCCUCCUAAGGACUUGCCUCCCUGCAUUCAACAAAUAUUGUCCCCCUUUUCUAACCCCUCAGAACCUUUAUGGUCAUAUCCUCUGUGGCAUUGAUGCCAAUAUUCUACACCAGUGUGGCAUCGAAUUCCUCAUACUACUGCAGCUGUUUUCCUCAACCUUUUGCUGAACUUCUUAUUAAUAAGAUUGAACCUCCAGGGGGAUAGGUGGAGGGUGUCCUCUCCACCAAUUUAGGAAAUGUACAAAAUAAUAUCUGGAAGUUGAUGGCUGCUGUGGGGCCUGUUGUCCUUUCACAUCAACAACAUCCUGUUAGGAACUUAACCGCUUUUGUUAUGGCUUGUGUUCCAUCACCCUAUGCUAUUCUUACUGGUUCUCUCUACGUUUUUCAAAAAGAAGGGUUUUAUGACAUACGUUGUGAUAAUUGUAAUUUGACAAAUUGUAUAAGCAUGGGGGAACCAAACCGGGGAUUUCUUCUUGUUCAUUAGCCUCCCUUUGCUAUGCUCCCUGUAAAUGUUACAGGUCCUUGGUAUUCUAAUUCAGGUUUGCAGGUCAUGCAUGAACUCUCCCUUCUUUUACAACGGCCCAAGCGAUUUUGGGGGUUACUUAUAGCUGGAAUUACAGUGCUCAUUGCAGUCAUUGCUUCUGUAGCUGCUUCUGAUACUGCGCUGACUCAAAGUAUUCAUACUGCCACAUUUGUGAAUAAUUUAGCUGCUAAUGUCUCUAAUGCUUUGGGAACUCAAGAAACUAUUGAUAGAAAAUGAGAAAGUCAUGUUAAUGUAUUGGAAGAAGUUGUUCUUAUUCUUGGAGACCAAUUAGCUGCUUUAAAAACUGCCUGUUCUAUGCAUUGUCAUGCAGAAUUUUCUGCAAUCUGUUAAGCCAUAUAACGAUUCGCAGUGGCCUUGGCCUCAGAUUAAGAAUCAUUUAUUGGGAAUUUGGUCUCAUUCCAAUCUAUCCCUUGAUAUUGCUCCCUUACAUGGGGAUAUCACAAAUAUCCAGCAUGCAGCUCCCCUAGAUGUAAAUCCAGUGGAAAUUGCUUGAGACAUAUUUACCCAGAUUACACGUACUUUUGCCCCAAGUUCUCUUAUUAACCUCCUUUAUUCUAUAAUUGUUAUUGGUAUUUUAAUAUUAUUGUGUAUUUGUUGUUUUCCAGUCCUCCUGUGAAUUGGCUUACGAGCAAUUGCAGAACUCCAAGUCGGGCUCUACUACCUCACAUUAAAAAAUAAGGAAGGGGGACAUGUCGGGAACCAGCUGCAAGCUGACACAGUUCUUGCAGCUUAAAGCAUGGCAAAGUCCUGCUUAAUCAUUGACAGGACAUGAAAGAGUUAUUAGAGAAGAUAUGAGUCUUGGCCCGUGAAGUUGCUUGCAGUUUUUCUAACUAUAGUUUGUCCUUGGCAUGCUUUGGUAGUCACAGUCUGUUCUCAUGCAUGUUUAUAUCCUGGUUCGCAGAAUGUUUUGUACUAUAACUUCAACACUAAGGAAAUGCUGUCUGAUGAUUCAGUUUGGUGAUUUUAACAAAAACAUGUUUUGUCUACUGCAAUACAUAAAAAGAGGUUUGAUGAGAAAUAAAGUGUGUGUGUUUAUACACCACC
rnacentral:lncRNA from 1 species